rnacentral:rRNA from 1 species
AUUGAACGCUGGCGGCAUGCCUUACACAUGCAAGUCGAACGGCAGCACGGGUGCUUGCACCUGGUGGCGAGCGGCGAACGGGUGAGUAAUACAUCGGAACGUACCUUAUCGUGGGGGAUAACGCAGCGAAAGCUGUGCUAAUACCGCAUACGCCCUGAGGGGGAAAGCGGGGGAUCGAAAGACCUCGCGCGAUUAGAGCGGCCGAUGCCUGAUUAGCUUGUUGGUGGGGUAAAAGCCCACCAAGGCGACGAUCAGUAGCUGGUCUGAGAGGACGAUCAGCCACACUGGGACUGAGACACGGCCCAGACUCCUACGGGAGGCAGCAGUGGGGAAUAUUGCACAAUGGACGGAAGUCUGAUGCAGCAACGCCGCGUGGAGGAUGACACAUUUCGGUGCGUAAAACUCCUUUUAUAUGAGAAGAUAAUGACGGUAUCAUAUGAAUAAGCACCGGCUAAACUCCGUGCCAGCAG